GUGGAUGCCGGGCACUCGGGCUUUUCUCGCUCUGGACGAGUACUAGUACAGGUUGAGGAUUUAUUUAUCUUAUGUUACGCUCGGGGUACGGCGGGGGCAGAAAGUACUAAUCCGGAGAAAACGGUGAGUGAAGUGCGGGGAGGGACGCAACCCCCCCGACCACAUGCUAUCCAGCCAGCUUCAGCAGCGCUUCAGAAUGGGAGUUUGCAGAACAUGUGCAGGACGGAAUGUCACUGAACAGAAUGUCACUGAAGUGUCGGUGCAGUUUAAGAUCCGCUGGCCUCUGGUGUCCUGUCUGACAGUUGCGUGCCCCCCCCGGCUGAUGUACUGUCUCUGACACGCAGAAAAAGUCUCUGGAGUCCAUCAACUGCAGGCUCCAGCUGGUGAUGAAGAGCGGAAAAUAUGUGCUGGGAUACAAACAGACGCUGAAGAUGAUCCGCCAGGGCAAAGCCAAGCUGGUCAUUCUGGGCAACAACUGCCUGGCACUGGGGUAACUGCUGUGUUUUAGCCCGAGCAAAUUGUGUUGCAAAAGUGGAGAAAGUGACCAAAUCAUGGUAAACAUGGAGGAUGACGGCCCACGUCUUUCUGAGAUUAGGUCUCAAACUGUUACUUUAUGGCAUUAGAUCGUGAUUUUGAUUGGAUGUCUUUGUGAUGGGUGUGGGUAACACCUCAAACAGCGGCGACACCCUGAUAUAUCACUGACCUGAUGAUGUUAUGUCAUCCUUUUCGGGAAAUCAUAAAUUGAGUACUAUGCCAUGUUGGCAAAGACUGGUGUUCACUACAGUGGGAAUAACAUUGAGCUGGGAACGGCCUGUGGGCGGUACUACAGAGUGCACGCUGGCGAUCAUCGACCCUGCACUGCAUCUGUGUCCUCGUUUCACCACUGAUGUAUCUGAGAGAUUGCUAAGGACCCCCCCACAUAUCCAUACAUACAUACCAAGACCAGGCUUGAACUAGCAACCUUCUGAUUACAGCCACACAGGCUUAGCCCACUGAACCACAAAUUGCCCCCAGUCCAAUUCCACAUUGUUCAAGUGAGAAAACAGGUUGAGACAGUCACUAGAAGAAUUGGGGUUUAAGGGACCUGCCCAAGGGCGCUGUGGUGAAAUUAGUCAACCAACUCUGGGAUUUGAAUCACAAUCAUUGUCCUAAUCUUUUGAGCCACACACCAACCCCCUAGAAAGCAUGAGUCACAUCAACAAAGAAGGUCUUGAUCUAGCAGCUUCUGGGUAACGAGCCCAGUAUAAUCCCGGUACACCACUGCUGCACAAGCUUUGAGAUGCAAACUGAAUGGUUUCUCCUCGUGUCAACAGUGGGUGAGAUAUUUCUGAAAACGACAGAAACGCUCCCUUUCAAGGUGCACAGUCGCUUCCUUUUGGUGACUGUUUAACGGUCGGUGAAGUAUUUGGGCGCAGAUCCUGCCCAUGGUCUGAAAUCGUGUCAUGGGGUGCAAUUUCCUUCCCAGAUGCUGUCUUAUAAUAAACUGACUGGGCAGAGACAGGUGA